CAAUAGCGUAUAUUAAAGUUGUUGCAGUUAAAAAGCUCGUAGUUGGAUUUCUGCUGAGGACGAUCGGUCCGCCCACUGGGUGAGUAUCUGGCUCGGCCUUGGCAUCUUCUUGGAGAACGUUGCUGCACUUGACUGUGUGGCGCGGUAUCCAGGACUUUUACUUUGAGGAAAUUAGAGUGUUUCAAGCAGGCGCACGCCUUGAAUACAUUAGCAUGGAAUAAUGAGAUAGGACCUUGGUUCUAUUUUGUUGGUUUCUAGAGCUGAGGUAAUGAUUAAUAGGGAUAGUUGGGGGCAUUCGUAUUUAACUGUCAGAGGUGAAAUUCUUGGAUUUGUUGAAGACGGACUACUGCGAAAGCAUUUGCCAAGGAUGUUUUCAUUGA
rnacentral:rRNA from 1 species